rnacentral:miRNA from 1 species
UGGUGGGUGAGGAGGAGG